AGGGUCAGACUGAGCCCCCAAAAAGCCACCACUGGAGUAUGACCUGCAAGCAAAACUUCUCACCCAACACAGUCAUCAACAUCAUUCUGCCUUUUCCCUUAUCUGUGCAAUGGACACCAGAAUGGAAUCAAGUCUACUGAGGACAUUUACAUGUUUGGCUGGUGUGGUUGUGAAGAGUGAGUGGAGGGCAAUUUGAAAUUCUGAUUAAAUUAUUCGUCUUCUGGGAUUUUUUAGAGCAAAAUCAUAGGCAUGGGCAAACAUACAUGGGGCUAUCCCUCGAAGCAUGUUUCCAGGAGUAAAACUGGAAAUGGUCUGGAAUGUCGACAAAAAGAGAAUUGGUUAAAUAAGCAAUGGUAUUUUCAUUUUAUAUCAUUCUAUGGAAACAUUCA
rnacentral:lncRNA from 10 species